CUCAAGUUGAUGACUUCCAAGAUAAGAAUUGAAUUCGUUGACUGUAAAUCGUUUCCGUCUCUUCUUCAUCUUCUCCUCGUUGAAGUGUGGUAUAGAAGCUGGUGCAUGGGGAGCUUGGCACAGCUCGUUCUGUUCUCAUGAGCAGCCUGGAUUUCCACUUAACGCUCUCUGGUGGAGAACCAAGGUCCUGGAGAGCAAGCCCGUCCAUGACUGUUGAGGUGUUUGACGCAGAAACGAAGGCAUCGG
rnacentral:sRNA from 1 species